UACGAAGGGGGCUAGCGUUGUUCGGAAUUACUGGGCGUAAAGCGCACGUAGGCGGAUUGUUAAGUCAGAGGUGAAAUCCUGGAGCUCAACUCCAGAACUGCCUUUGAUACUGAAGAUCUUGAGUCCGGGAGAGGUGAGUGGAACUGCGAGUGUAGAGGUGAAAUUCGUAGAUAUUCGCAAGAACACCAGUGGCGAAGGCGGCUCACUGGCCCGGUACUGACGCUGAGGUGCGAAAGCGUGGGGAGCAAACAGG
rnacentral:rRNA from 1 species